rnacentral:rRNA from 1 species
AUUGAACGCUGGCGGCAGGCCUAACACAUGCAAGUCGAGCGAGCGGCGGACGGGUGAGUAAUGUCUGGGAAACUGCCUGAUGGAGGGGGAUAACUACUGGAAACGGUAGCUAAUACCCCAUACCAUCACAUUUGACCAGAUGGGAUUAGCUUGUAGGUGGGGUAACGGCUUACCAAGGCGACGAUCCGUAGCUGGUUUGAGAGGACGACCAGCCACACUGGCACUGAGACACGGCCCAGAAUCCUACGGGAGGCAGCAGUGGGGAAUUUUGGACAAUGGGGGAAACCCUGAUCCAGCCAUCCCGCGUGUGCGAUGAAGGCCUUCGGGUUGUAAAGCACUUUUGGCAGGAAAGGGUACGUGAAGAAAAGCACCGGCUAACUACGUGCCAGCAGCCGCGGUAAUAG